AGAGUUUGAUCCUGGCUCAGAUUGAACGCUGGCGGCAUGCCUUACACAUGCAAGUCGAACGGUAACGCGGGGGCAACCCUGGCGACGAGUGGCGAACGGGUGAGUAAUACAUCGGAACAUAUCCAGUAGCGGGGGAUAACCUAUCGAAAGAUGGACUAAUACCGCAUACGAUCUACGGAUGAAAGCAGGGGACCGCAAGGCCUUGCACUAUUGGAGUGGCCGAUGUCGGAUUAGCUAGUUGUGAGGUAAAGGCUUACCAAGGCGACGAUCCGUAGCUGUCUGAGAGGACGAUCAGCCACACUGGAACUGAGACACGGUCCAGACUCCUACGGGAGGCAGCAGUGGGGAAUUUUGGACAAUGGGCGCAAGCCUGAUCCAGCCAUGCCGCGUGAGUGAAGAAGGCCUUCGGGUUGUAAAGCUCUUUCGGUGAAGACGAAACGGUUAGCGCUAAUAACGCUGACUAAUGACGGUACUCACAGAAGAAGCACCGGCUAACUACGUGCCAGCAGCCGCGGUAAUACGUAGGGUGCAGGCGUUAAUCGGAAUUACUGGGCGUAAAGCGUGCGCAGGCGGUUUGCUAAGACAGGUGUGAAAUCCCCGAGCUUAACUUGGGAAUUGCGCUUGUAACUGGCAAGCUAGAGUGUGGCAGAGGGGGGUGGAAUUCCACGUGUAGCAGUGAAAUGCGUAGAUAUGUGGAGGAACACCGAUGGCGAAGGCAGCCCCCUGGGUUAACACUGACGCUCAUGCACGAAAGCGUGGGGAGCAAACAGGAUUAGAUACCCUGGUAGUCCACGCCCUAAACUAUGUCAACUAGUUGUCGGGGAAGAAAUUCCUUGGUAACGAAGCUAACGCGUGAAGUUGACCGCCUGGGGAGUACGGCCGCAAGGUUAAAACUCAAAGGAAUUGACGGGGACCCGCACAAGCGGUGGAUUAUGUGGAUUAAUUCGAUGCAACGCGAAAAACCUUACCUACCCUUGACAUGCUAGGAAGCCCGCAGAGAUGUGGGUGUGCCCGAAAGGGAACCUAGACACAGGUGCUGCAUGGCUGUCGUCAGCUCGUGUCGUGAGAUGUUGGGUUAAGUCCCGCAACGAGCGCAACCCUUGCCAUUAGUUGCUACAUUCAGUUGGGCACUCUAAUGGGACCGCCGGUGACAAACCGGAGGAAGGUGGGGAUGGCGUCAAGUCCUCAUGGCCCUUAUGGGUAGGGCUUCACACGUAAUACAAUGGUCGGUACAGAGGGCUGCCAACCCGCAAGGGGGAGCUAAUCCCAGAAAGCCGAUCGUAGUCCGGAUUGUAGUCUGCAACUCGACUGCAUGAAGCCGGAAUCGCUAGUAAUCGCGGAUCAGCAUGUCGCGGUGAAUACGUUCCCGGGUCUUGUACACACCGCCCGUCACACCAUGGGAGUGGGUUCCACCAGAAGUAGUUAGCCUAACCGCAAGGAGGGCGAUUACCACGGUGAGAUUCAUGACUGGGGUGAAGUCGUAACAAGGUA
rnacentral:rRNA from 1 species